rnacentral:rRNA from 1 species
ACCACGGAUGCUCAGUACGGCGAGUGAAGCGGCAAAAGCUCAAAUUUGAAACCCUCGGGAUUGUAAUUUGAAGAUUUGGCAUUGGAGAAAGCUAACCCAAGUUGCUUGGAAUAGUACGUCAUAGAGGGUGACAACCCCGUCUGGCUAACCGUUCUCCAUGUAUUGCCUUAUCAAAGAGUCGAGUUGUUUGGGAAUGCAGCUCAAAGUGGGUGGUAAACUCCAUCUAAAGCUAAAUACUGGUGAGAGACCGAUAGCGAACAAGUACUGUGAAGGAAAGGUGAAAAGAACUUUGAAAAGAGAGUGAAAUAGUAUGUGAAAUUGUUGAUAGGGAAGGAAAUGAGUGGAGAGUGGCCGAGGUUUCAGCCGCCCCUCGUGGGCGGUGUACUGCCGACGCCGAGUCAUCGAUAGCGAGACGAGGGUUACAAAUGGGAGCGCCUUUCGGGCGUUCUCCCCUAACCCUCCACACUGCCACCGACGACAUAAUCCACCCAUUUCACCCGUCUUAAAACCCGGGACCAACAGAUAACAGAUGG